rnacentral:rRNA from 1 species
AGUUUUAUAUUUAAUUUUAUUUAUAUUUUUAUUUUUAUAUGAACAUAAUUUAUUUGUUAAUUAUUUAUUAAAAGUUAAUUUAUUGGGUUUAGUUUAUUUUACUGAAAAGGAAAGUUUAUUUUAUUAAUUAAAAGAAUAUUUUUAUAUAGUACCUUUUGUAUCAGGGUAAAUUAAUAUUUUAAAUAUAUUUUUUUUUCUCGAAUAUUCAGGAUUUAAAUUAAUUUGUUUUUUAAUAUUUCAAAAUUAAAUAAGAAUUUGAUUUGGUUUUGAAAUGAAAUUUCGUUUGGGUUAAUAUCUAGUUAACUAAGAAUUUAAUUUAAUUAAGAAAAUUUUUUUGAUAAUUUAUUUUAUGAUAAAUUCAUUUUAAUUUUUAAUUUUGUUAGGGAUAAUCUUGACAUUGUUUUAUAAUUAAUUUUUUUUUUUCAUUUUUUUUAGGUUUAGAAUUAAUUUUAAUUUAAAGUUUGUAAAAAAUUUAAAUGUAUAAUAAUUUUUUUAUUUAUUUUUUUAUUAGUUUUUUUUAAUAAAUUUUUAUUAUUUUAAUAAUGAUUUAAUUAGUAAAUUUAAGAAAUUUUUUAUAUGAAUUCAGCAAAUUUAUUUUUCACCUGUUUAACAAAAACAUGUCCUAAGGAUUUUAUUUUAGGUCGGGCCUGCUCAGUGAAUUUAAUUUUAAAUAGCCGCGGUAUUUUAACUGUGCUAAGGUAGCAUAAUAAUUAGUCUUUUAAUUGGAGUCUGGAAUGAAUGGUUUAAUGAAAUAAUAACUUUAUUUAUUGAAUUUAGUUGAAUUUUAUUUUUGAUUUAAAAAGAUCAAAUAACUCUGAGUGACGAUAAGACCCUAUAGAUCUUGAAAAUUAAUUUUAUUUUUUUUUUUUGUUGUAUUUUUAAAAUAAUUUUGAAAUUUUUUUGUUGGGGUGACAUUUAAAAUUUUAAACUUUAAUUUUUAAAAACAAUUAUUUUUGAUUAUUUUGAUCCUUUAUUUUGAUAGAAAGAAAAAGAUACCUUAGGGAUAACAGCGUAAUUUAACUUGAGAGUUCUUAUCGAUAGUUAAGAUUGCGACCUCGAUGUUGGAUUAAUUUAAGGUUGUGGGGUAGAUUUUACAAUUUUAGGUCUGUUCGACCUUUAAAAAAUUACAUGAUCUGAGUUCAGACCGGCGUGAGCCAGGUUGGUUUCUAUCUUCAUUAAUUAAUUUAAUUAGUACGAAAGGACUUUUAAAUUAUAAAAUUUAUUU